CGGGCGGGCCGGGCGCAGCCGCCGGGCCGGGGCUUCGUUGCUCGGCCGAGGUGUGCGGACACCGCGCAUCCCGGAGCAGCGUUCGUCUCCUCGGGAUGUUGCUCGCCGCGGUCGCUCCGGGGAAGCGCGUCCUCGACGGACGCUUCGCUUCCCCCGGGGGCGGGAGGGCCGCCUUCGGCUCCAGGCCCACAUCCCUUCGGGCCGCGGUGCCGGCUGCGGCCUCUGCGAGCUCCGACGGGACGGGAAGGGACGGGAUGGGAAGGAGCAGGCACUGAUUUCCACGCUGGGAAACGCACAGCGCGGUGUCCGCGCAUCCCUCUGCCCGCUGUGACAGGCUCGCUCACGGCCCCUUCCUCAAACCUGUGCCCUCCCCUCACCCACUCUGUCACCCGGGGGGCUACGCAGGAGCUUUUUGAAGCUUCCUUGAGGAAGCGUUUCCCGGCCCAGUGAUUGGUUGUCUCGGGCACCGCCGCGCCGCACGGGAGCACAGCCUUGCGCCUGUGCGGGGCGGGCAACAGGGCCGAGGGCGCGGCGGUGGCGGUGGCUGAGCGGGUGGGGUCGGGGAGUGACCGCGAGGGACCGCGCCCAACCCGGCUGCGUCUGCGCGCUGCGUCGGCAGGGGGAAAGCAGCUCAGGGGCGUUUGCGGGGGACCGUCAGAGCCUCUCUCCCCCUCGGAAAAUAUCGCUGGUCCGGGUCCGUAUCGCUCUCCGAGGGGGGGGAAUGGAGAUGACAGGUGUGCAGGUGCAGGCGCCGCGGCCCCCUCCCCGUCCUCCUAUCCUGCCCCUCCUUCCAGGCGACUUAUUAGCAGGGUUCGGGCCGGCUAACCAAACGGCAGCCCCGGGUGCGAAUUCCCCGGAAGAAUGCUUUGAUCGUGCCUUCUCUUCGCGCCGUCGGGAGCGGAUUACAUCGCCAAACGCAGGAACUCCCGCCGCGUGUUUUGGUCAGAGAUGUUACCCGUUAAUCUGAAACAAAUUGCCACUGCCCCGGGGGCCCGUGCUCGCCCCGUCACGGACCCGCAGUGCGCUGGCAUGACCGGGCUUCCCCACUCGCUGCAGGGAGGGCGCGCAGAUUUCCCGGGUGAUGGCAAUUGCGGGAAAAGAAUAAAAUUAAAAACAUAAAUAUUUAAAAAAAGAAAUCACUUUUUUUUUUUCUAGAGCUAUCCAACCAUUAAACAGCGUAAUUUCUUUUGCAGCUAUCUUGCAUAAAAGUGUGGGUUUGUUUUUGAUGUCACUCUCUUGUCAGUCUCUUGCUUACAGCACGGUGAAUCUCGGUGAGAUUUUUGUCUGUGGCACAGAUCCUUCAGAAUGGUCUCUACAUUAAAAUGACUUAAAUUAGCAAGUUUCAACUUUUUGUAUGCUUGUGUUUUAAAAAAGCAUGGUUUUUUUUUUUUAACACAUCUCCGCCUUAUGUAUUUGUAAGCACCUUUAUAGACAGAGGAGCGAUUUUCUGUGAAGUCUUGCACAUCAGUCCAGUAAAUGUAGUAAAACCAUAUAAUAAAGAUGUAAGAAAUGUCGACA